UACGAGGGGGGCGAGCGUUGUUCGGAAUUAUUGGGCGUAAAGGGUGCGUAGGCGGCCUGACAAGUCUGAUGUGAAAUCCCUGGGCUCAACCCAGGGCCUGCAUCGGAAACUGUCGGGCUUGAGCAUGGGAGAGGUGAGUGGAAUUUCCGGUGUAGCGGUGAAAUGCGUAGAUAUCGGAAGGAACACCUGUGGCGAAAGCGGCUCACUGGACCAUUACUGACGCUGAGGCACGAAAGCUAGGGGAGCAAACAGG
rnacentral:rRNA from 1 species